rnacentral:rRNA from 1 species
AUGGGUGGGCUGCAUGGGGCUCUGGUGAGGGCGAAAAUCUUGUGCCGAGACCCGACCAAGAACAAUGGGGUGUUUGAAAUCUUCCGUGGCCUCAGCAGCUUGAUGAUGAGGGUGGAUCACGACCCAGGUGGCCCUCUGGCUCCACUGCCCCCAUCUUCCCCUCCACCGCGUCCUCCUUGUGACGACGACCGGGACGGUGACGAGGAGGAGUACGCCCCCAGCCUCAACACUGUUGAUUGGGACAUGGCGGGUAGCAAAUCGAAGGUGGCGACUACUGGUGGUGCGUCCUUGGCGGCGGUGGUGUCUUCGGGCCUGGCUGGGCACGCAGCAUCAUUGGUGGUCUAG